rnacentral:rRNA from 1 species
GACGAACGCUGGCGGCGUGCUUAACACAUGCAAGUCGAACGGAAAGGCCCUGCUUUUGUGGGGUGCUCGAGUGGCGAACGGGUGAGUAACACGUGAGUAACCUGCCCUUGACUUUGGGAUAACUUCAGGAAACUGGGGCUAAUACCGGAUAGGAUCUCCUGCUGCAUGGUGGGGGUUGGAAAGUUUCGGCGGUUGGGGAUGGACUCGCGGCUUAUCAGCUUGUUGGUGGGGUAGUGGCUUACCAAGGCUUUGACGGGUAGCCGGCCUGAGAGGGUGACCGGCCACAUUGGGACUGAGAUACGGCCCAGACUCCUACGGGAGGCAGCAGUGGGGAAUAUUGCACAAUGGGCGGAAGCCUGAUGCAGCAACGCCGGGUGCGGGAUGACGGCCUUCGGGUUGUAAACCGCUUUCGCCUGUGACGAAGCGUGAGUGACGGUAAUGGGUAAAGAAGCACCGGCUAACUACGUG